rnacentral:rRNA from 1 species
GAUGAACGCUGGCGGCGUGCCUAAUACAUGCAAGUCGAGCGAACAGACGAGGAGCUUGCUCCUCUGACGUUAGCGGCGGACGGGUGAGUAACACGUGGAUAACCUACCUAUAAGACUGGGAUAACUUCGGGAAACCGGAGCUAAUACCGGAUAACAUGUUGAACCGCAUGGUUCAACAGUGAAAGACGGUCUUGCUGUCACUUAUAGAUGGAUCCGCGCCGCAUUAGCUAGUUGGUAAGGUAACGGCUUACCAAGGCAACGAUGCGUAGCCGACCUGAGAGGGUGAUCGGCCACACUGGAACUGAGACACGGUCCAGACUCCUACGGGAGGCAGCAGUAGGGAAUCUUCCGCAAUGGGCGAAAGCCUGACGGAGCAACGCCGCGUGAGUGAAGAAGGUCUUCGGAUCGUAAAACUCUGUUAUUAGGGAAGAACAAGUGUGUAAGUAACUAUGCACGUCUUGACGGUACCUAAUCAGAAAGCCACGGCUAACUACGUG